UUAUUUGUGGUUAAAAAGAGAAGCAGAAAUCGCGGUCUAACUAAGCAGAAAAACAGAAAAUGAAAUUAUUAAACUAGGAAAUAGAAUUGCCACAAUACCCAUCACUGUCUACGCUAACUCGGCACGUCUUUUAUUUAAAAUACAUUCUCAUAUGAGGAAACUUAUCAGAAAAUGAAAACAUCUGCUGAUUCACUGGAAAAACAGGAGUGUCCUGGUAUUGAAAGAAAUGAACCCUACCUUCAACUAUGUGGAGAACAAGUGUGAUACGACUUGUAAAUAUGAAGGUGUGAUUUUAAGAUGUAAGCUAUAACGAAGGUUUAUAUGUACAGGAAAAGGACACACAGUUUUAAUAGGACAACAAAAUAAAUCCCACAAAAGAGGCGACGUUGAUAUAUUUUAGUCUUCCAUACUUUUUUUCUUUUGCUGUGCUCAAGAUAUGAAAAUUCGACUUACAUUUCCCUGCUGAAUAGAUUACAGAAUAAAGG